AACGAACGCUGGCGGCGCGCCUAAUACAUGCAAGUCGAGCGAGAAGACGUAGCAAUACGUUUGUAAAGCGGCGAACGGGUGAGGAAUACAUGGGUAACCUACCCUCGAGUGGGGAAUAACUAGCCGAAAGGUUAGCUAAUACCGCGUACGCUCCUUGGACUUCGGUUCAGGGAGGAAAGCGAUACCGUGGGUAUCGCGCUCUUGGAUGGGCUCAUGUCCUAUCAGCUUGUUGGGAGGUAACGGCUCACCAAGGCUUCGACGGGUAGCUGGUCUGAGAGGACAAUCAGCCACACUGGCACUGCGACACGGGCCAGACUCCUACGGGAGGCAGCAGUAAGGAAUAUUGCGCAAUGGGCG
rnacentral:rRNA from 1 species